AAGACUGCUACUCACAAACAAGAACUAAAUACAAAUACUCAUUUCAAAAAACACACACUCAUAUAUAUACAUAUAUAUAUAUAAACGCAAAGGCACAGACACACUGUGGAAUUUACAUAAACGAAGAUAAGAUGAAGUCUUCUCAAGUUGAUGUUGAUGGAGUCCUACGUGCUUUGGGAGGAACAAGAUUUUUCCACACCAGUCAGUGCAUCCUGAUUUGUGCCUCUGCAAUUGUAGCAUCGACAAAUAGUUUUUUCUACAUAUUCUAUGCCAUAACUCCAGAAUAUAGAUGUAACAAUCUGACAGAGUCUCAGCUCAAUCAUUACAACAUAUCGAUUAAUGAAGACAUUCUGAUAUAUGAAAAAUGCACCAUAGACAUCAUCGAUACCGAAGAAGGGGUUACAACUGAGAAUCGAACUCUGGACUGUCUGAAUGGUUAUUACUAUACCACACCAGUUGAUAAUUCUAUAGUGUCACAGUGGGACCUGGUCUGUAACAGACUAGGACUGGCAGAAUUAACUCAGACUGUUUACACUGUUGGUCAAAUUGUCAGUGGUUUGUUAGCACCAUGUUUGAUUGAAAAAUUCGGACGUAAACCUCUGAGAGUGUCAAGUCACAUGUUGAUGUUAGUCUUCAACUUAAUCGCCGCAUUUUCUCCGUCUUACUGGGUGUUUACAGCAAUGAAAUUUUUGACUGGAGGAGUUCGUGAGAUAUACUUUCUUAGCUCUGUUACGUUGGUUUGCGAACUAUACCCGAAAGAGAAACGUAUCGUUAUGUCUAGUAUAUUUAUGUGUUGUUGGGGAUUCUAUAAUUCUACUCUGGGUUUGAUAGCCUACUUGUUGAAGGAUUACGGUUGGAAUACGUUAUUCUUGUUUAAUGUUGUCAUCUCGGGAUAUUUCCUAGUGGAUUACUUAUUCCUGAAGGAAUCUAUCCGGUGGCUCUUUGCUAAUUCAAAAGUCAAAACGGCUAAGAAAAUUAUUAGGAACGCAGCAAAACAAAACAACAUCGACUUUGAUAGUGUCUGGAAUAUAACUUUGAAAGGUACCGCAGCAAAACACUCUGAUGGUCACGUGAACGAAACCUGUCUUGAAUAUCGAAUGGGCGAUGUCACAACUGGUGUCGAACAUACGCAAACACAAACAAAAGAAGAAUCCUCAGUAUUUGUUAAUUUACUCGCUGUCUUUAAGUCACCCUAUCUGAGGAAAGUAACAAUCGUUAUGUCUAUAGAAUGGGCUCUAAAUUUUGCCUCGUGGAACAGUAUUUUUCUAAUGAUGGAAGUUCUAGCUGGCAGCAUCUAUCUCAACACUUUCAUAAUGUCUUUAAUUGAUGUAUUUGCUAUAGGGAUUUAUUCUGUGAUAGCGAAAAGGUUUGGUCACAAAAUAUCGCUACAAAGUUUGAAGACACUUGCUGCUAUGUCAGUUAUCUCUGCAUCCCUGAUAAAGAUAUUCGCAGAAGUAUUGGAAUUGGUUUUGCUACAACUUUCAUGCGGACUGUAUGCUUGGCAUCACCUUUCCUCAAACUCCUGUAGGAAUAUGCAUUCGAGGACAUCAGACCACUCACACAAGCAAGACACGAAGCUCACUUGUGAAACAUGGAGACCAAGAUAAAUGUUUUGCUGCAAGUAUUGCAGUGAUCAGCUUUCUUUGUGAUCUGAUCGCUAGAUGAAGCAAAUGUCAUUUGCCACACCAAUAGAAUGGCAACAACAAACCAACAAUUCGUUUCGUUGCUAUUUUUGCAUUAUUAAUGUUAAGGUGUAGCAUGUGCCCUAAUUUGCAAUGUACUAUAAGACCGUAGCCGCAUGGCGAUGGAAUUUUUCUUGUUUCAAGCAAUCAACCACUGACUGAGUCAGAUGAUGACUGCAAUGACGAAACUGGGCGGGAAAAUCAAAUGGAUGACAUGGAAUUCGAAAAUUCACUUAAUGCUCUAAACUAAAUCAAGAACAACUGAAUCAUUUCGUUUAAAAGUUUGAACUUUCCAAGAAUAAGGCUUACCUGACUGGGACAAUGCUCAAAGAAUUUGGUGUUUUUGCCUAAGUAACCAAAAAUAACCCAGCGUAUUAGCACCAAGAAAAGAAAUUCAUCGAAUUUUUCCUCGCACAUGGUGAACUGGAUUUGGCUUAUUGCAAGAACAGUAUUGAUUUGAUGAGGGUACUGGAAAUUUCCUCUGAUGUCAAGAUAGAUUGAUGGUUAUUCAUUGAUGGCACUGCUUCCAGCAUAGAGGCAGGGAUUUUACAUGUUGGGAAUGAGUAUUCAGGGAUUCCAGUGGGUUCUUCGAAGAAGGCAAAGAAGAGUCAUGUGAUACUAAAAAAACUGAAACGCAGUGGGAUUACAUAUAGAUUUUCUGUUACUUGUGUCUAUGAGACAGCCGAGCUCGAAAUAAGCGCUACAGUCAGCAUAAUAGUUCAACGUGUCAUGAAUGGAGACCUGGGAACAAAAACGUAGCAUUCAUACAAAUAGUUUCACCUGAGCCAAUUGUGCUAUCACCACUAUAUAUAAAACGUGGAAUCUUCAAAGAUUUUGUGAAGCCACUGGAGAGUGAGGGCCAAUGAAUCAAGUGGCUCAAAUAUAUCUUCCCUCAGUUAAGCGAAGCAAUGAUUAAAGAAGACGUGUUCGUUAGAUCAGACACUCGCAAAUUGAUGAAGAAUCAGAUGUUCAGAGAUUCAUUGGAUGGAAUUGAACAAUAAAAUUAUGAUCCUGUGUUAAGGGUUGUCGAAAACAUUCUAGGAAAAGAACCGGAGCCCGAAUUACAAGGCAAUCCUAACUGACCUUCUGGAUUCAUUCAAGGGUGCCAUGGUGUCAAAAUGCUAUUAAAAAUACACUUGAAUUUCAUUCUUUUGAACAAGGGCAACACCAGUGAUAAACAUCGUGAAAGAUUUCAUCAAGUGAUCACUACUACUGUAACAAUGAACCAAAUGCAAAUCGAUCCCGCAUGAUGGCAGACUAUUGCUGGCUUCACUCUUCUACACCUCCAUGCUAGUGAUCUUGGUAAUGAGCUUAAGGCUUUGGCAGUUCCGUGGGCUCCUGGAAUUAUCAUAGGAAGCGGAUGUGUGAUUUCAUCAAUUUUGGUCCAUGUAUUUUUACCAGAAACGGGAGAUAGUGUCCUACCAGAGACAAUCGAGGAUGUGAACAUGAUGGG
rnacentral:misc_RNA from 1 species